rnacentral:lncRNA from 1 species
GUUUAAGUGAGUUAAUCUAAUGAACCAAGUCAUGGGCGAAGCAUGUAAUGUGCAUUAUCUAAUUUAUUCCUCACAAUAAUCACGUAAGUAUUAAUUAGUGUAUUCAUAUAUGUUAUUACCUAUAAUCAGAUUAUUAAAUUAUUUGUCCAAGGUCACUAGCUAGUAAGUGGUGCUAGGAUUUGAAUCUGGCAAUAUCUAUUACCAAAGCCUUUGUGCUGAAGUCAUAUGCUGUAUAGAAAGGUAAUGUCUAGGUCCUCCCACCUAAUGUGAUGAUGAUGAUUAUUAUUAUGAUAGAAAACCCUUGUGCAACAUUAACCAGGUGCCAUGGAUUUGUUUUAUAUCAUUCUCGGUAUAGAUACUAACAUUUAUUACUAUAUACCCAUUUUACAGAGAAGAAACAGAGGAAACUCAUUUUACAGAUGCAGCAACGGAACUGAAGUAGCAAGAAAAUGGCAGACCCUGGAUUCAAACCAAGGUCUUCUGAGUCCUUAUACAAAGCUUCCAUUUUUAGAAAUAAGUCCUCAGGAUCAUGAAGUUUCACCCUAUAUGAAGCCAUAAUCUGAAAAUUCAUCUGUUUGUCCUAGCGUUGGUGUCUAUCUCUUGGCAUGUUAUCUGUUUAACAAAAGAAAUUACUCCCAAAUUUAGUGGCUUAAAACAAUGACAACUACAACAACAGCAACAACAGUAACAACAAUAACAAAUUUAUUCUUAUAUUUCCU